UUUCUUGGUAAGCGAAAUUUAUAAAAAAUUUUGUGAAUGCGGCGCGUUUUUCAUACGUUUUCAAGUGUUAUGUCAAAGAAUAAAAACAAAAAGUCUGCUACCGUUGUUGCUGUAGAUGAGAAGAAACCAAGUGAUGGUCCUGUGCAGUUGGACAAAAGCGGAAACAUUUGCAUUCGAAUCCUCGCUAAACCGGGCGCCAAAAUGAAUGGCAUUACGGAUAUAGGAAACGAAGGAGUUGGAAUACAAAUAGCAGCGCCGCCCACAGAAGGAGAAGCAAACGCAGAACUCGUGAAAUAUCUGUCCAAACUUUUAGGAUUACGGAAAAGUGACGUAUCGCUGGAUAAGGGAUCUAGGUCCCGCAAUAAAUUAGUAAUGGUUAGUAAAGGAGUUACGACAAUGGAAAAUAUAAACGAAGCAUUAAAAAGAGAAUGCGAGACGUAGAAUGUUUACAUAUGUUAUGAACCAUUUGGAGUUUCAAUCACUGUCAUAGGCAUCGUCUUUAAUCCAACCAAACAGAAAGUAUCCAACUGUAAGACCUAACAGAAUUGAUAGGCACAACCAGUAAUUGAAACUCAUAAAUAUCAACAUAAGUAGCAUAGAUAAUGUAACUUGAAAUAAGAACAAUAAGCAAUUGUGCUGCAUACAACAUCUGUCUUCUCUUUGUUUUUAGAUAUCUUUUCAAGUUCCCUACGAAGGAGGAACUGUCGCAAAAACUUGACACCUUCAUAUAAGAAUGCCAAAAGGAAAAUAGCAAUCGCAGACAAUGAAAAUUCUAAAAUUGUCGUUGCGGACCAAGCCUUCCAGAGAAUUUGCUCGCAAUGCCCACCAUGAAACUGAAAAUAAGCCAGCAAAUAAGCAUUGUAGUAUUACACAAAUCAUUUCAACUUACGAGCAUCAUAUGCGGACAAGAAAUUUCCAUCUUAUCGCCACCAUGGCCGUGAUGACCUUCGGACAUCCUAAGUAUACUCCUUGCUCUCAAUGUAGAUAAAUAAAAUUCAAUAUUUUUGAUUAAA